UACGUAGGGUGCAAGCGUUAAUCGGAAUUACUGGGCGUAAAGCGUGCGCAGGCGGUUUUGUAAGUCUGACGUGAAAUCCCCGGGCUUAACCUGGGAAUUGCGUUGGAGACUGCAAGGCUGGAGUCUGGCAGAGCGGGGUAGAAUUCCACGUGUAGCAGUGAAAUGCGUAGAGAUGUGGAGGAACACCGAUGGCGAAGGCAGCCCCCUGGGUCAAGACUGACGCUCAUGCACGAAAGCGUGGGGAGCAAACAGG
rnacentral:rRNA from 1 species